rnacentral:rRNA from 1 species
GAGGAAUAUUGGUCAAUGGACGGAAGUCUGAACCAGCCAUGCCGCGUGAAGGAUGAAGGCGUUCUGCGUUGUAAACUUCUUUUAUCUGGGAAGAAACCACAGAUUUCUAUUUGUGUUGACGGUACCAGAGGAAUAAGCACCGGCUAACUCCGUGCCAGCAGCCGCGGUAAUACGGAGGGUGCGAGCGUUAUCCGGAUUUACUGGGUUUAAAGGGUGCGUAGGCGGGCUAUUAAGUCAGAGGUGAAAUCUCCGGGCUCAACCUGGAAACUGCCUUUGAUACUAUUAGCCUUGAAUUAUGUUGAGGUUGGCGGAAUAUAACAUGUAGCGGUGAAAUGCUUAGAUAUGACAUAGAACACCAAUUGCGAAGGCAGCUUACUACACAAUCAUUGACACUGAGGCACGAAAGCGUGGGUAGCGAACA